rnacentral:rRNA from 2 species
AGCUUAUUGUUUUUUAUAAUAGGUUUUUUCUGCCCGGUGGUGAUUUAAACGGCCGCGGUAUUUUGACCGUGCAAAGGUAGCAUAAUCAUUUGUUCUUUAAUUGGGGACUUGUAUGAAAGAAAUUUUGAGGCCUUAUCUGUCUCUUUUUUAUUUUAGAACUUUCUGUUUGUGUGAAGAAGCACAAGUGAAUAAAAAAGACAAGAAGACCCUUUUAAGCUUUAUUUUUUUUUCUUGUUUCUAUUUCUGUUUUAGUAAAAAGUUAUUUGUUGCAAAAAUUUAGUUGGGGUGACUAAAGAAGAUAAAAUCUUCUUUGUUUUAUAAAACUUUAAGUUGAAUAAAGACCCAUUAUUUAUUGGUUGAAAGAAUUAGUUACUAAAGGGAUAACAGCGUAAUCUUUUCAGAGAGUUCUUAUUGAAGAAAAGGAUUGCGACCUCGAUGUUGACUUGCUUUUUCCUUAAUAAGGCGCAGAAGCUAGAAGGGUUGGUCUGUUCGACCAUUAAAAUAGU